CGCAAGCAGGAAACAUAGAUUUUACACAGUAAGCGAAAACUAUUGAAUUAAAUGGGAAUCCGCGCCGAAUACGAUUGAAAGACUUCGCUUGUCCGUGCACAGAUACGAAAAUAUACAACAUAUAUUUUUGUCUACACUGUUUGCUAGCGCGAAGAUCUAACCGAGACGACAGAUUCGUACGCGUAAAAAUCGUAUUCCGAUCGUUUUUACCGGUCUCUCGUGAUUUCGAGAACUUUGUAUUAUUAGACGAUAUAUACAUAAAUAUACGUAUACUACUAUUACAUAUAUAUAUUUAUUAUAUAUUACUACGGAGACAACAAACGCACCGUUAUGCUUUUAGGGAAAUAUUUUUCAUAUACUCGGAAUAUGUGUAUCGAUGCCAAUUGUUGAUCGUGAUAAUCAUUGAUAGAGAAUAUUACGCUGAUGAUGUUUGCGGUCGUGGUAUGGUUGAGAUUUAACUCUCGCGAAGAGGUCUUGGUCUACACAAGAUGUUACAACAUUUUUGGGACACCCUGUAUUCUACAUCAGGAAUCGACACUGUAAAGGAAUUAUGGUCUCGGGGCCCUUUCUACUCGUGGUACAGCCCUGUUACCCACCUGACGGUAGCAGGGCGGUACCACCAGUGACGAAGACCCCGACACUAUGAUUCUACAGUGCCAAUUCCUGGUUUACACGUCUAAAAAUUUAUGGAUAUCUACAGGGUGAUCAGGUUUAAUCUAUAAGUGGAUAUGUUUCGAAUGUUUGGUUCGAAAAAUGUUGAAGGGUUAAGGGAGGAUAAGUUAAAAAAUGGAUUUCUAAUGUAGCACUUGGCACAAUGAAAAGUGAAAUGAAAUGCAUUGUUUAAAAGAAAGAAGUAACCGCCUUUUCGUCUCUGCGUGUUGCUAUUUUUUAAUAAAACUGAACAAAGUUAUUAGCAAAUUUUGAUGAGCUUCCUGAAAAGAUUUGAAUUACAAAUUAAUUCUACGUAAUUCUACGACCAAAAGAACUAAAUUUCAAAUUGAAUAGGUUCCCUAAGUGUAGGACUUUGGUAUUUACUGAGAAUCGCAAAUACGAAUGACUAUCGAUAAACGUAUAGAUUUAUGCAGAUAGCUCUCCCUCCACUAACCAUCGUAAUUCAGCCUUUUUCAAAGUAAAAUAUAUCCAUUUAUUACGACCCGUUACAAGGGUAAAAAAAUUACGAAUCUUAAUUGUACCACGAUAAUCCUUAUGUAUAGUAAGUAAAAAUGUGCAUAUGUGUGUACGUGUUAAAAGAGUCAUUUUCCCCAUCUCUCGCUCUCGACAAGAGCAACAAUUCAACUCGUUCGAUUUCGAUCUCUUUUAUUACCAAAGAAAAUCAUAAAUAAUGUUCCAAUUAAUUCACGUACGCAUAAAAUCGAAAGUAACACUCGGAAAGUCUGAAACUUGUCCAGCAUCUUUUCUAAAUCAAGGUAAAAAAAAAAGUAUGCAACGAACGUGCACGUCAAGUAUUCAAACUGUGCUCACCCUUGUGUGCCAAUCACGAAGAAAGCGAUGAAAUUCUCUGCGCAGUCAUCAAAUUUCUCGUCGAGCAGCAGCAUUCUCCACCAAAUCCACGAUAUUCCUCUUUUAAACAGAAAUCGGGAACCAGUUUUCCACCCGCGAACUCAGAACGUACGCACAUUCGCAUUUCGAAGCUACACUUUUCUAACAAGCGGCGUCGUAACGAGAAUCGCAAGUGAUUCGAGAAUCGCAGGUGAUUUUCCGCGCCAAAUUCAAAUACGACAGUACACAUAGACAACGUAGCUGAGCCGCCGCAUAGACGUAGACGUUUGCGAAUUUGCUGAGCGACGAGCGACGAAAGCAUGUGAUACCAUAAACACGAUACUCACGAUAACCGUUUAAGUGUUAAGCAUCUCAGGAUAACACGCGCGAUUACUUAAGUUUUACGUGUAAAACGAAUAACGUAUGGCAACUUUUUUUAUCUGCGUAAUAAUAGAACUUUUGAUAGAUAAAUCUAACGGACGCCGAUCGCAAAGGGACACUUUCCGUAAUGGCAGUUGUACUAACGUAAGCAAAACAACGACUAACAUCAAACAUUCGAAUUUAAUUUGAACAUCUCCUUUGAAUUCAUUUCGAACUAUGAAAUGAUAUAAUCAAAUCUAGAAUUAAAUUAAUUGAUUGUAGAGAUUAAAUCGUGUCAAGGGUAUUUGAAAGAUUAGAGUUUCGAUUAAACUGAAUAAGCAUUGACUAGCCGUGUAUCGUAUGUUUAUUUCGAAAGUGUCUCUUCUGAGGAACCACACGAGCCAGUAUCAUUCGAAAAAUCAUCGAUCCGUAAGUAGUCCCCAUAGAAUUUGAAUCUAGACUUUAAGAAUUUAUCGAAAAUUUCAGUGUCAAAUACGUGAAUAAAAGAUCGACGAUCUAAACUUGAAAGUUUGAAGAACGUUUAUAAACGAAAACGGGUAUAGUGCUAAAUUGAUGUAAUUUCGAUGUCGAUUUGAAUUCCACUUUGUUACAAAUUUUCGAUCGAUUAAUUACAGAUAAAAAUGAUUGUGAAUAUUUGGCUAUUGCAAAAAAAAUUGCACGCCAGCAGGAAUUUUGCUGUUAUCGCUUAGUGUUCUUGCAAAUUAUUCACGCAAUGUAUCUAAAGCCUCGACGUACAACGGAAUCCUCGUUGCCGUGCAAUAUUAAUAACAAAAAAACCCAUGCCGUCUCAGAAAAGUGCUCUUCUAAGUAAAAUUGUUAUUAUAGGGCGAAUUGUCUAUUACCAUGCGAUAAUUGGACACGCGUUUGUAUGCGAUACGUACACGCAUAUAUUCGUUCGCAUAAAAAUGCCUGUAAGUGUAUAUUGCUGCGUAUGUAACAUUAUUAUUAUUAACGACGAUAUACAAAUCAUU